UUAAAAAGUCCAUGCUAGUUACUUGCCAUUUCAAAGCUAGAAGCCCAGUCCUCAGAAGCUGGUAAGGGAUUGGUCCUCAUAAUACAGAAGUGUUUUUCUGGGUUAUCAGCUUCUCAGCCUAGAUCACUCUGCAGCUGUACAAUGGGAGAGCAUAAGGAUGGGGACGGGACUCACAACGUGAACUCACUCUGCCAGACAAAUAACUGUUCAUCUAAAUGGGGCCUUUGCUGAUUUAUCAUUCAGCAUCCACAGGAUGCCAGGCCAAAAUCCUACCAUGGAAAUGUCCACCAGCACCAGAGAUGAAGGAGCUUUUGGGCCCAGAAAUGUUCCCUAGUAGCGUGUUGCUCACUAGUACAGUCACAGCCUUAUAUUUCUGUCAGGGAACAGGAACAGUAGAAUGAUUUCUAGCUUAUUUGUGCUCCUGGAAAAAUGAUAAGACUUUGUACACAGCAUGUCUCUUCAUUGCUAUCAUGGCUCACAUCAUUUCUUCCCACGGAAAAACCCAAGGUAGCAUGUGCCAGGAGCAAAAAUCUCCCAAGAGAUCUUGUUGCAGAGAACUCCUCAUUUUGUCGGGAUGGAAGAAAUUCUUGUCCUCGAGGACAAGCUGUGGGGUCUGUCCCAGGCAGUGUACUUAACAGAAACUCAAGAUUUGCAUCAGUGGGAAGGAGAAAUCAGAACCUAUUCAUUAGUUGUUCCAUAAUAGAUUUAAAAAUACAAACUUGCAAGGUCACUUACAUAAAGCCUGCAAUACCAUAUGCUCAACACAUUCCAGAACACCAAACACAUGAAUCACUGCAGUUAUAUUCAUAAAAAUACUCUUCUACUCCCCCAGCACAUCACACAAUGAUGGAGUUACAGGAACUUUUUUCAGGUGGCAGCUGAUUUAAGAGGUUCCUGCAAUUGCUGCUUAUUCCUGCCCCAUAGCUACAAUUGCUUCCUCAGUUGUGCUGGUUUAACUCUCUGUAGAGAUGUUCUAGACACCAUACUGGGUUCAAACAAAUAGCAAAAAAAAAAAAAAAAAAAAAAAAAAAAGUAAAUUAAAUAAUAAUAAUAAUACACAACUGCAUUUAAAAGAAAACAAAAACAAAAACAAACAAAAAAAAACCUUUGGAUUCUUUCAGUGAUGUAUCAUGGAGUGGCAAACUAUUGUUUCAGCACUACUGAGUGAGCACUAGUGAGGGAGUAUGAGAAGCCAAAGGUGGGGAUGGUAAGAGCUCUUAAAACUUUGCCAUCAGAGACAACUCUUUGAUUAUAGAAUCAUUUAGGUUGGAAAAGACCUCAACAUCAUCAAGUCCAACUGUUAACCAAGCAUAAAACGGAAUUUGGAGGGAAUAACGAUUACAGGGACGUAACUGAGCAUGUCACCAGAAAGUGUCCUUCUCAGAAAGUUUUGCGUGUGUUUAAAACAGUAGAGAAAAUCAGUAGC